CCUACGGGAGGCAGCAGUGGGGAAUAUUGGACAAUGGGCGAAAGCCUGAUCCAGCAAUGCCGCGUGAGUGAUGAAGGCCUUAGGGUUGUAAAGCUCUUUUACCAGGGAUGAUAAUGACAGUACCUGGAGAAUAAGCUCCGGCUAACUCCGUGCCAGCAGCCGCGGUAAUACGGAGGGAGCUAGCGUUGUUCGGAAUUACUGGGCGUAAAGAGUACGUAGGCGGUGAUUCAAGUCAGAGGUGAAAGCCUGGAGCUCAACUCCAGAACUGCCUUUGAAACUAGAUCGCUAGAAUCAUGGAGAGGUUAGUGGAAUUCCGAGUGUAGAGGUGAAAUUCGUAGAUAUUCGGAAGAACACCAGUGGCGAAGGCGACUAACUGGACAUGUAUUGACGCUGAGGUACGAAAGCGUGGGGAGCAAACAGGAUUAGAUACCCUGGUAGUCCACGCCGUAAACGAUGAUAACUAGCUGUUCGGGGUCUACGAUCCUGAGUGGCGCNGCUACGACAUUAAGUUAGUCCGUCCGUCGGGUAGGUACGGUCGGCGAGAAGUUAAACGUUAACGUAAAGUUAAAGUUAGUACGGCGUUGAGACGUUGCCGACGGACGACGACGAGGGAGGAGG
rnacentral:rRNA from 1 species